rnacentral:rRNA from 1 species
CCCUUAGAUGUCCUGGGCCGCACGCGCGUUACACUGAUGCAUUCAACGAGCUUAUAACCUUGGCCGAGAGGCCUGGGCAAUCUUGUUAACGUGCAUCGUGAUAGGGAUAGAUUAUUGAAAUUAUUAAUCUUGGACGAGGAAUUCCUAGUAAACGCAGAUCAUCAAUCUGCAUUGAUUACGUCCCUGCCCUUUGUACACACCGCCCGUCGCACCUACCGAUUGGAUGGUCCGGUGAAGCCUCGGGAUUGUGGUUCUUGCCGCUUUAUUGUGGCGUGACCGCGAGAACUUGUCUAAACCUUAUCAUCUAGAGGAAGGUGAAGUCGUAACA